CAAAAGAAACAAUGAACAAAAACAUUCUUACAUUCCAUAUUGUAUCAAAAUAUUUAGAUAUUUGUUACCAAAUCACAAUUUGACUUAUGUAUAGCUGUUGAGUGUCACCAAACCAUAAUUCUACUUUUACUUGGCUAUAGUGCUUGCCAAUCUCUGAAAGAGAAUUUAGGUCCAAACUUUGUUUUGGGAGUAAACAUAAAAUUGACUGAAAUAUACCAUAAUUACUUGUCUGUCAAUCUAUUUUUGCAUCAUAUUUUGUCUAGAAAUUGUGUCUAGAACUUUUCUAUAUAUUUUUUUUCAAACUUGGUAGGAAUAUUUAUCAAUUAAAUGUGUGCCUUUAUGAGUGUAUUGAUUUAUCAGAUUUUUUAAAAAGUCUUUUCACUUUGUCAGCUUUUAUUAAUGUAUAAUUUUUGUCCAAGCAUUGACUUUUUUUUAUAUUAAUCAAUUAUUACUCUCAUUUGGACUGUGUCAGGCUUAAGGUCACAAGAUUUAGAAAUUUAAUUUCUUCUAGUACAUGUAUCUUUAUUUUUAUAAUGGAAUAACAAUGCAAAACUUUACCUAUAGCUCAAAGCUUUAUUCAGACUUAAGCACAUGUCAUAACACUGACCCAAGGUCAAUUUGACAAGGACAAGGUCACAGAAUGAAAUGUAGAACACAGUAUAAUGAACAAUACAGUCUGUAGACUCUGUUAUAAUGAACACCAGGGGGAUUGUCCCUGACCAGUGUAUAGAUGUCAAGGUCACUUGGACAAGGACAAGGUCACAAGACUGUAGAAUCUGUAUUUAACAAACACCAAGGAGGUUGUCCCUGACCAGUAUAUAGCUGUCAGGGUCAUACAGUGGUCCCAUUAGGACAGCUCUAGUUUGUCUUGAAGUCAUUUUACAUGUCUUUUGUCCAUUUUUUUCUUUCUGUUAGUGCUGAGAUGCUUCAGUCCCAUUGUGUAAUAAAAAUUACAAGGACUACUCAUUGAUCAUAAAAUUUGCUCUGUUUUCCUAUUUCCCCUUUUUGUUUUGGUAUAUAUUAGAUGAAUUUUUAUGGAUGUAUCCAUUUUUUGGACAGGAAUGUGUAUGAUUUAUCAACUGAAAAGCAAGCAGCAAUUUCAGUAAUUCAUGUAUACAGAGAAAUUUUUUCCCCCAUUUAAUUUUUGCCCCUUUCAUUCCACUCACAGGUAAGCAAAUUCAAAUGGGACAAAAUCAAAAGCAGACUGUAAUUUCACAAACAGAAUUGUGACUGGGGCAAUUUAAAAUGGGGGCAAAUUUGUUUGCAUGUGUGAAAGGGCAAAUUAACACUGGCCGCAAAAAAAAUGUAUACAGUAUAAGGUCAAUUCUGUGUUGUUUUAAAAUCAAAAGUGGAUCAGUGUUUCUUGCAGUUAGGAAAGCUUUAAAAGACCACUCUUGAGAGAUAUUUAUUGAAGACAUUUUUACUGGUUUUGUAUAUAUAUAAAUAUAUAUGUAUAUUUUUUUAAUCAAUGAAAUAAAAUACAUGUAUUGUAUAGUCUCAUUUUUAUGAUAUAAAUAUGACAUUUCAUU